UCCGCCGUAGCGUAAUUGGCAGCGCAGUAGGUUUUGGUCCUAAAGGUUCAGGUUCAAGUCCUGGCGGCGGAG
rnacentral:tRNA from 2 species